UUCGGAGGCACCUGCACAGGUGCUGCAUGGCUGUCGUCAGCUCGUGUCGUGAGAUGUUGGGUUAAGUCCCGCAACGAGCGCAACCCUUAUCCCCAGUUGCCAUCAGGUAAAGCUGGGAACUCUGGGGGAGACUGCCGGUGAUAAACCGGAGGAAGGCGGGGAUGACGUCAAGUCCUCAUGGCCCUUACAUCCCGGGCUACACACGUGCUACAAUGGCAGGUACAGAGGGCUGCGAAGCCGCGAGGUGGAGCGAAUCCCAGAAAACCUGUCUCAGUCCGGAUUGAAGUCUGCAACUCGACUUCAUGAAGGCGGAAUCGCUAGUAACCGCGAAUCAGCAGGUCGCGGUGAAUACGUUCCCGGGCCUU
rnacentral:rRNA from 1 species